AGCACCAAUUAUGCUAAUAAAUGAGCACGUUAGCACGUUAUUGUAAUAUCCCAUAGUACAUACAUGUUAUUAAAACUUGAACUAAUGCACUGUGAGUCUUAUAAAUUGCUUACAUACCUCACCGAUUUCCCACUGUCUGGAAAACGCUCGGUUUAGUUCCUGUCUCCGCCUCCCAAAAUGUCUAGUGUAUUCGGAUUGGUCAGAUGACUACUCAACUGUUAUUGGUCAACUGGGUUCGGCGUGUGUUUGAAAGGUUACGCCCCUGACUACGCGUGGGUUUUCCGGUUCUGACUGAGAGUCACAGGCAACGUAAACAAGCGCUAUAUUUCUCUAUAAACGAUGGUGUCUGUACUGCCUUACCACUUCAAGCUCGAUCCAGAGAGUUCAGACGGCGUUACGAUAUAAACGAUCUCCGUCAAUUAACGCGAUUGGAUUUAACUUUUUUAGGUGUCCUUAGCUCUGCCAGAAUGCUAAACGAAGACGAAAAUGUGUUGCAAAGACAUCCAAAAGGUUUUAAGGAGAAUGCAACAGGUUCCAGGGCCUCUUACCUGCGUGAUUCAUCAUCCAGAUACGCUUGGAGCUUCCUGAUCAGAUCGGUCACAAUUUUGGCUUUCGAUGACCCCUGCACUGAAGAUGGCAUGCAAUCACGUCCUCCUUUGAAGGUCUCUCAAACUGUGAUGCCAGGUCCAUUGGAAUCGGGGUU